AAUAAAAAAAAAGAAGUGAUACAUACAUACAAUGGAAUACUACUCAGCCAUAAAAAGUGAAAUAAUACCAUUUGCAGCAACAUGGAUGGACCUAUAGAUUAUCAUAGUAAGUCAAGUAAGUAGAAAGAGACAAAUAAUAUAUGUUAUCAGUUAUAUGUGGAAUCUAAAAUAUGAUAUAAAUGAACUUUUUUAUGAAAGUGAAAUAGACUCCCAGACAAACUUAUAGUUACUAAAUGGGUAAAGUGGAGGGAUAAAUUAGGAGUUUGGGAUUAGCAGAUAUAAACUAUUGUAUAUAAAAUGGUAAACAGCAAGGUCCUACUAGACUCAGAGAAGCUAGGAACUUGCCUAAAAUCACACAGCUGUUAAGUGGCAGAUCUAGAAUUUGAACCAAGAAAUAGACUAUAUGUCUACUUCCAUAGUCUGUGUUCUUUAUAUUGUAUUACCCUGGGGAAAAUCAAUUCAUGGAGACUUAGGAAGAAGAGGAGAAAGAAAUACUGAGCGAAUAGAGUUAAAAAGACUAAGAGGCUGGGGAUCUCCCAGAGCUGAGUCUACAUGUGUGUCCCCGUAUCUAAUGUGCAGACAAGAACAGCACUGGAGAGGGCACAGCAUCUGCUGCUCUUCCUUCACUUGUAGCAAAGAGCAGGGCAUGUUCAAGGAAAAGGGGGCAGUUUGGAUCGGCAGGUAUAUAGGAUGGAAAAUAGGAAACCAAACUACAGGUAUAUUCUGUUGGUAAAAUGAUGGGUUCCUUCAUUGUGCAUGAGGAACCACUGAGGGUUUUGGAGUGAGGAGAUGACAGCAUAGGGCUGUUUUGCUUCAGGAAAAUUAUACUGUUAUUGUUUUUUAGCAGUGUUUAGAGAGGAUCACAGUGUGGAAUAGGGUAUGUGUUAUAAAGAGGGAGAUAGCACAUGCAGUUGAAACUCAGAGCGAAGGGAAGUGAGCUUUACGGGGAUGGUGGUGGUAGUGGUCGUGGUAUUUAGGUAAUGGUUUGUAGGAAAAGUGAUGUUUGGCUUAGGCCUGGAAGGAUGAAUUUGGAGAGUCUGUGAUGUGGGUGCCAAAGUGUCCCUGGAGGAGAUACUGGAGAGUUUCUCUUUUCAGGCUGCUGUACAGUUGGACUAGACUAGCGGCAUGCAUUUCGAUAGCACUUUGCUUGAAAAAGAAGUUACAGCAGCUUAUAAAGACUAUGUAUUACAACAGCUAAAAUAAGGAGGUGAUGAAAUAGGGGCAGAGGGGUAAUUAAGGUAAGAAAAGUGAAAGGAAGGUAGCAUUGAGAUUAGCACCGUUGGCUGGAUCUAUUCCCUAUUUUGGGGGGACAUCUUUUCAAAGCUCAUGGACAGAGACUGCUAUAAAGACAGACUGUGGAGCAAAGGUAGAGACCAUAAGAGUCAGUGGCAACACAUGCUUCAGCCCUGUGGGCAGCUUGACAAAACUUUGUGCAGAGCAGUGAGGAUGGCUGUUUCAGUGAGGGGAUACUCAGAACAUGGUGGAGCCUAGAUGAGAAGAAUGGAGCAUGUAGGAAGAGAGAAAUCUGAGCUGCUGACUCCAUAGCUGUGUGUGUGUGUGUGAGACCUCAGUGUAACACUGAUUGCUGAGAAAUUUGGAAUCCUCAAGGUCUUUGCUCUGAGCACUGAGCUCCAUGCUCUAUGGUCGGAGAUCCAGGAAGCAGCCAGGUAAUAAUUUCCAGGUUCUUGGAGGACCUGCUGGAGGCUCUCUCUUUACUGGCUUGAGAACACACCAUACUCCAGCUAGACUCCAAGACUCUGCUCCUGAUGGAGCCUGUGCUUGAAUGUUCUUUCCAUCCAUGGCCUAUUCAUAGUCUAUCCAUUUUUGUGAGGCUCCAGCAUUGUUCCACUCCAGGUGGGGAAGAAGUCUUUUGUGACAUCACUCUGUUGUCAUCUCUGAUCUCCUUGAAUACAUUCCAAAACCUGUCAUCACGAACUUUUCAUUAUUGCUAUUGCACAUGCCAGGUGUUUUUUUUUCCCCAGCUUAACAGAUGUUAAGUUCCUGGAGGACAGCUGGGAACUUUUCGGAAAGUCUUCAUGUCUACCCCAGUGUUGCUUAUCUAGCAGAAGCUAAGUAAAUACAAGCUUGACAUUCUCUUCCUCUGGUACCUUGCUUUGUGAAUAAAGCCCUCAAUCUAGUCAGGAGGUCUUGGUUUUAGGAUUGAUCUAUCAGUGACUGGGAUAUUGAUCUAUCAUUGCCUUGGAUAUUGAUAUACAUUGACUUGGAUCUGGCUCUUGUCCUUUUAAGGUCUCAGUUUUCCCACCUGUAAAAAGAGAGGGUUGCACUGAAUGACUGCUAGGGUCCCUUCUACACAAAUGUGUGAUUGAAAUGACCAUAAUCAGGGUUAUUUUCUGCCCUGUCUUGCUCUCUCCAUACUACCUUUGUUAUAUGUGCUGAUGUCUGUCGUUGAAGGGUUUUAUUCUUGUUUAAAACUCUGGACUCAGGAAGGUAGCAUUUCCAGGUGAAGGAUGACCAAGAUGGGGAGGGGGACAGCCCUGUGCCUGGUUGGAUGAUGUGGGUGGCAUGGUGUUCCCACAAGUUUAAAGUGUGCUGGGACGUUUGGUGUUCUACGCCAGUCAGGUGUUUACGUGCUGGUGAUGUCUCUAAUGGUGGUGUCUUUGCAGGUGCUAAGUUAGCCAGAAGUCCCCCUCAUAAGAGCAACCAUUGACUAGGCACUUUUCAAUUGUCAUCUGUAGUCCUCCCCCAACUCUGAAAGGGAGUAGUUAUUCCUGUACUCUGAGACAACAGGCUCAAAGAGCUUGAGGGAUUUGCCAGAGAUUGUCCAAAGCAGGAUCUUGCCCAGGGCCUCCUGGCUUCAAACAUGGGCUUUUUUUUCAUCAACGUUACCUUGCAACUCAGUUAAACCCAGAAGAGAGCAGAAGACAUCCAUGCCACAGUCCAUAGGAAGGUGAGGGUCCAUCCCCCGUCCAGCAAGGUGUUAGAGUUUCCCUCAGGCACGUCAGUCCUUGAGCCUGGUGGAUUUCUGAAAGACCUUUUGAAGAUUUCCCCCAGCAUAACAAGUCAGUGAUUUGUAGAAUAAGACAUAUUUCUUCUGAAAGCUAAAGCGGAAUGUUCUUCCACGGGCUGUUAAGAUAUCAGGGAAAGAAAAGAGGAUGUUGGCCAGGAUAAAUGUGGUGGAAGACGAGCUGUUUCUUUCUAAGUAGUGGGUAUCAGUUUUCUAAAUACAACCGGGGGACAUGUUAUACUUCCUUCUGCAAGUCCUUUAAAGACAGUAGAGACAGAAGCUCAGUGCACCCUCUUCCUGGCCUUGUUCUGUUCCGAUCUGCUCCCUGAAUCUGUGCUCUCUCAGCAGUGCUUGAAAAGUGGUCCUUUCCUGUUAAUGAAAGCAAAUGUCUGCAGUUUCGCCUAACAUGUCAAUCAAUGCCAUUGAUGAGGUGCCUACUGCUAAUGAAUUUCUAUUCCACUUACUAAAGAACCAUGAAAUAAAAUAGAAGAUGAGGUUCCCGGCUUGGGGGAAUUUGGGUCAUAUUCAUGGAGGUAACAGUGAAGUCUCUCAGGAACCUGGAAAUGAUAGAAAUGAAGCUGCCUCUGAGGGUUAAAUUAGGUCCAUCUAUCCAUCCUACAUGGAUGUGAGCCAUCAUCUGAAGCUUGGGGUGGGAGAUGGUCUGCAAAUGUGUGAAGGAGAAGAUGCCAUCAGUUUGAGCUGGGAGUAAUCUCAAGGAUGCUGGGCUGAAAUAUGGCUGCCAUUUAGUAAUCUGAAGCCUAAUUAAUUGCACCAAGUGCAGCCUGGAGGAAGACUGUGUACAAAAGUUGCUGUAGGCAUUUUUGAAAGGCAAAUUAAAGAGGCAGAAACUGGUCGUGCCCAUUCAGGUUCUGUAGUGUCCACAGACAAGGAAGCUUUCCUUCUUUGGCAGGUCUAGUCCUAAUCUUGGUCUAUAUACACCAGCCCAUCAUGGUCUGCUGCCUUUGGGCUGUGAAUUAUUCCGCAGACUCCUCUAGCCUUGCUUUUACAUGCUCACUAAGCAACUUUGGGUGAUGGUUUGGUGUCCCCAGUCCAUCAGCCUACCCUGACUUUGCUGAUCUGAGCACUUUAGGUCCUGUGGCAGUUGUAUUUUGUUGUUGUUUUUGGCACACAGUAAGUGGAACUUCUGGCUUAUACAUCAGUUUUGUGAGCUUGGCUUAUAAGUCUUCACCAACAGUGGAUUUGCUCUCAAAGUGCUGACAAUGUCUAGUUUCAGAGUGUAUCCCCUUUGCCUCAACAGAUUAUCAAAAACAGUGUCAUAUGUGGACUCUCUUGGAAGCAGCUAGUGGCCUAUUACUAGUAAAACUAGGCUUGCUGCCUGUUUCCAUGCAAACUUUACCCAAGAACGGGCAGCGAUGACAUUGGCAUGUGGAAGAGGCCUCACAAUUUAUAAAAUGAUAUACAAGCAGGUCUAGGCAAAUACUGCCCAAGAAGAUAGCAAAGGGACGGCUGAACCCUAAGGGGCUGUGCAGCAGAGGCAGCUAGAAUCAGUCAUCUUUUGAAAAAGCAGUCUUUUAAAAGCUACAUUUAGAUUGGGGAGAAAGUCAAGAAAGGAAUUGAUUAGAUCUAGAGGAAAGGAAGACAUUAGUAUUCAUUAAAUUUCUUUUCUCCCUCAUUUUAAAACUGAAGUAUAGUUAGUGCACAAUAUCACAUGUUAUAGGUGUACACUGUGGUGAGUCACAAUUUUUAAAGGUUAUAUACUCCAUUUAUAGUUAUUGUUAAUAUUGGCUGUAUUCCCCAUAUUGUACAAUAUGUCCUUGUAGCUUGUUUUAUACUUAAUAGUUUGUACUUCUUAAUCCCCUACCCCCAUCCUGCCCCUCCCUCUUCCUUCUCCUCAGUGGUAACCACUAGUUCGUUCUCUAUCUGUGAAUCUGCUUUUUUUCUUGUUAUAGUCACUAGGUUGUUGUAUUUUUAGAUUCCACAUGUAAGUGACUUUCGUACAGUAUUUGUUUUUCUCUGGCUUGUUUCACUUCUAGCUGAAGUUUUUUUUUGUACUUAAUAUGUACCAGCUACUGUACCACGUUCUUUAAGCAUGACCUAAAUUGAUCCCCAGAACUGCCCUUUGAAGUAUGUAGACAUUAUUGCAUCCAUUUGACAAAUGAGGAUGUUUACUUAACUAGUGAUUAGUAGAGCCAGGGUUUGAACCUAUCUGUAUAGCCACUGUAUUAUAUUAGAACAAGUUUUAGCAUAACAUAGAACUCAUUUGUUUCUGCCUGCUACAACAAAGCACUGACCUCAAGCCCAGAAUGAUAGAGUAAGUUUUAAGCUCUCAUGGUGCUAGGGGAUGACUGUGGGGAGAAGUUGUUUUGCCCUGGUUUUGAAGGAACAAGUGGACUUGGAUAAGCAGAGAUGGAGGCUGAGAAAGUGUGGCACAGCCUCUUACCAUGUGGCAGUCACUCAUGUUAGAAGCAGUAGGGGAAGCAGGAUAGGCAGAUGAGAUGGGUCACAGGAAACAGUGGGCCCAGUAAAAGACGCUGAACUUAACCAGAUUUGCAUUUGUAUAGUCAGCUCUCUGCUAUAUGCCCCAAAUGGAAAUGCAGUAACAAAAAUUAACUCAAAGGAAGAGGUAAAUCCAAUCAUACUCUUCUGUUAGUUUUAGAAGUUUUAGUCCAUAGCGUUAAAAUGGCUUUCCUAUGGAUGUCUACCUUGGGUUUAUAACGUGAAGUUCUGUGUAUUGAAUGGGUACUGCGGGGAGAAGGGCCAGCCCCUGGUGAACCUGACUGGUGAGGGUUUAACCAAAUGCAGCAGACGAUCUAUUUCCUUGUUAGUCUACCCAGAAACAUUUUCUCUGAGUUAAAUCUGGGUUUGUUCCUAUUUCCCAGGCAUAUGUAGGUGCUGGAGCCCACAAUCAUAAGGUCUGGAGAACGGAGCCCAGGAUUCAUCUUAUCGGGAGAGAGACUAAGGAACUGUCACUGGGAGAUAGAUUCCGUCACACUUAAACCCAGUCACCUCACAUUGGCUCUUAGAACCUGAAAAGACCUUCCUAUCAUUGCUCUAGAUCAGCAGUUCUUUUUCUUUCUCAGAAGAGUGUAGACCUGUGGAGUAGCUCACUGCUAACUCCCUCCAACAGAUUAUUUAUAAGGAUUUUAUAUAAGACCGACUCUACUGUUCAUGCAUUAAGAACACUUCUUAAUUUCUUGGUUUGAAGAUGUAUCUUUAUUUUUUUCACUUUGUUUCUGAUCUCUAAGUCAGUUCCCUGAAAAAGUGUUUUCCCUAUUGCAUCAUUAUUCAAUUAAAAAAUGUUUUUAGGAGUUCCCGUCGUGGCGCAGUGGUUAACGAAUCCGACUAGGAACCAUGAGGUUGCGGGUUCGGUCCCUGCCCUUGCUCAGUGGGUCGACGAUCCGGCGUUGCCGUGAGCUGUGGUGUGGGUUGCAGACACGGCUCAGAUCCCGCGUUGCUGUGGCUCUGGCGUAGGCCGGUGGCUACAGCUCCGAUUCAACCCCUAGCCUGGGAACCUCCAUAUGCCACGGGAGCGGCCCAAGAAAUAGCAACAACAACAACAAUAACAACAAC
rnacentral:lncRNA from 1 species